GAUGAACGCUGGCGGCGUGCCUAAUACAUGCAAGUCGAACGAAACUUCUUUAUCACCGAGUGCUUGCACUCACCGAUAAAGAGUUGAGUGGCGAACGGGUGAGUAACACGUGGGCAACCUGCCCAAAAGAGGGGGAUAACACUUGGAAACAGGUGCUAAUACCGCAUAACCAUAGUUACCGCAUGGUAACUAUGUAAAAGGUGGCUAUACUACCGCUUUUGGAUGGGCCCGCGGCGCAUUAGCUAGUUGGUAGGGUAAAGGCUUACCAAGGCAAUGAUGCGUAGCCGAAGUGAGAGGUUGAUCGGCCACAUUGGGACUGAGACACGGCCCAAACUCCUGCGGGAGGCAGCAGUAGGGAAUCUUCCACAAAGGGCGAAAGCCUGACGGAGCAACGCCGCGUGGGUGAAGAAGGUCUUCGGAUCGUAAAACCCUGUUGUUAGAGAAGAAAGUGCGUGAGAGUAACUGUUCACGUUUCGACGGUAUCUAACCAGAAAGCCACGGCUAACUACGUG
rnacentral:rRNA from 1 species